GUGGGGAAUCUUCCGCAAUGGACGAAAGUCUGACGGAGCAACGCCGCGUGAGUGAUGAAGGUCUUCGGAUUGUAAAGCUCUGUUAAUCGGGACGAAAGAGCCUAGUGUGAAUAAUGCUAGGAAGUGACGGUACCGGAAUAGAAAGCCACGGCUAACUACGUGCCAGCAGCCGCGGUAAUACGUAGGUGGCAAGCGUUGUCCGGAAUUAUUGGGCGUAAAGCGCGCGCAGGCGGAUCUGCCAGUCUGUCUUAAAAGUUCGGGGCUUAACCCCGUGAUGGGAUGGAAACUACAGAUCUAGAGUAUCGGAGAGGAAAGUGGAAUUCCUAGUGUAGCGGUGAAAUGCGUAGAUAUUAGGAAGAACACCAGUGGCGAAGGCGACUUUCUGGACGAUGUCUGACGCUGAGGCGCGAAAGCUAGGGGAGCGAACGGGAUUAGAUACCCUGGUAGUCC
rnacentral:rRNA from 1 species